rnacentral:rRNA from 1 species
UACGGGGGGGGCAAGCGUUGUUCGGAAUUACUGGGCGUAAAGGGCUCGUAGGCGGGUUUGUAAGUCGAUUGUGAAAACCCCGGGCUUAACCUGGGACGUGCAGUCGAUACUGCAAAUCUUGAGUGCCUGAGAGGAUGGCGGAAUUCCCGGUGUAGUAGUGGAAAUACGUAGAUAUCGGGAAGAACACCUGAGGCGAAGGCGGCUAUCUGGCGGUGCACUGACGCUGAUGCGCGAAAGCGUGGGGAGCAAACAGG